GAAUCCCAGACGAUAGCGGAUGGAAAUAUUAAGCCAAAGCAGCAGCAGCGGCGAACACAGAAAAAAAGACCAAGUGCAUCAUGAGGACUUCUACCCUUCUCUUCCUCCUGACUCCCCCACCACCACCCUCUCUCCCCUUCUUCGCAACCUCCACGCAGCGUCUCCUGUCCACAGUCCAGCUCCCACUUCUAGUCACCACCCGCUCCUCACCAUGGCCCAACCCCAAGCAUGCGGCAAUAACGAAAACGGCGAGAGGCCGAAGACCCCUUACAGCGACCUCGGCCGCCGACGACGACGACGUGGAGGCUGGCGCUGGCGACGACUACGACAUGGAGGAGGACGAGGUAGAGGAGCUCGACAACAAGAAGGACUACGAUGUCGAGUACGACCGCCUCCUAGGCUCCCCCAUCUCAGUACCCGCCACUGCUGCUGCCGCCGGCGACGACUCAUCGCCGGAUGAUAUCGAGAUGGUCACCAGCGAGAGUUUCGUGUCCACCCAGGGUUGGGGUUCCGACACCGUUGUCGACUACCGCAUCAAUGAAGAGGAAUUCCACAAGAUCCGCCUCCUUCACUGUGACUUCUUCAUCCGGAAGCCUCCCGACCCCGAUCACAACGUCUAUGACUUUCGAGAGAUGUAUGUUACUCCUCCCGACACGGAUGUUUACUCGAUUCCGAAGGUCCUUGCGCCGAUGCCUCAGAAGUACAUCCGUUGCUCCAAAACUAAUUUUGGUUGCUACAACGUUAUGGAGCCACCGAUAGAUGCACCUCGAGAUCCAUUAUAUAAAACUGAGCGGGAGAUCCUGAAGGUUUUCUUAACGAAACAUUAUAGAAACAGACGACUAGGUGAUGCAGAAUUUGUUCUCGACUUUGAAGAAAUUUAUGUCAUUGACUCAAAAACUAAAUCCAUUACAAGAGCUAAAGUCUUGGUUACUGUGACAGGAGGGAGAAACAGAGAUAGGAGGAAUGAUCUUUUGAUCAUACGUGAUGGUGGAAACCUAUUCAAAAUUAUUGAUAAGAGUGAAAGGGAUGAUCCAACCACUGUCAUAGAGAGAGAAGAGUGGGCAAAGACCAGACAAGAGAUGGAGCAUCACCUUCGGAAGCUUCGAGACUUCAGUGUUUCAAAUUGGUUCUGAGAAGUUGAAGGAAAGUGGCAUCAAUUUCACAUUUCACAAAGGCCAAGCACAACUGAUUGGGAUGGCUCUACUGUGGCACACACAAGGAAUCGAUCUCUGCCACCCGUUGCAAAGGCGAGGUCAAGCAUUGAUCAGCACUCUUUGUAAGCUCAUCUUGCGUACAAAUAAGUUGGGGAUUAAAAGAAAGGAAAACAUCUCAUGAGGCAGGUCAAGCUGGGUGAUGGCAAGCAAUGCCUCGUGAAGCCAACAAAAAAAUGUUUGCCAUCGUAGAACACACUUUCUUUUGCGCCUUCAAUUAUCAAAGACAUCAGUGAUUGUCUUUCUAAUACAUUAUUUAUUUAUUUUCCUUUUGUCGGUUGCUUUAUUCUCGUUGCUUUUGUAUUGACUUGACUUGAUGAACAUUUUAGGCAAUGUAUGGUAAACAUUAUAAAGCUCUACUGAAAUGAGACAUGAUCAUGAUUAUUAA